GGGCCCGCACAAGCGGUGGAGCAUGUGGUUUAAUUCGAUGAUACGCGAGGAACCUUACCAGGGCUUAAAUGUAGUGGGACAGGUCUAGAGAUAGACCCUUCUUCGGACUCAUUACAAGGUGCUGCAUGGUUGUCGUCAGCUCGUGCCGUGAGGUGUCAGGUUAAGUCCUAUAACGAGCGCAACCCCUAUCGUUAGUUGCCAGCGAGUAAUGUCGGGAACUCUAACGAAACUGCCAGUGCAAACUGUGAGGAAGGUGGGGAUGACGUCAAAUCAUCACGGCCCUUACGUCCUGGGCUACACACGUGCUACAAUGGCCGGUACAGAGAGCAGCCACUACGCGAGUAGGAGCGAAUCUAUAAAACCGGUCUCAGUUCGGAUUGGAGUCUGCAACUCGACUCCAUGAAGUCGGAAUC
rnacentral:rRNA from 1 species